rnacentral:lncRNA from 1 species
AAGUACAACAAGCAUCAAUCUGUCACCUUUAGGGCAAAAGCGAAAAAGAAACUCUUAACAAGCUCGGGCCCCCUCCGCUACACACCACAAACAUUCAUUUUUUUCUCCACAAACUUAUUUUCAAGUUGUCGCACCGCGAAACUGCUGGCGUGUCGAAAGUCCCGAACUGAAGUCGAUUAUCAAUUUCGAGUCACAUAUAACAAAUCUCUAUCUUGACGAGAAAUUUUCUUUAAAUGAAGCAGCAACCAUAACUCUCCACCUUCUCCACAAAGCCCCUGAGGGUGGUCCAAUCAACAGUUAAUACUAAUCAAGUCCAAGCAAUACUUAAACUUGAGAGGAAUAAGGGGCUUCGUCAACAUGUCAGCAGGAUUUUCUAAAAUGCUAAUAUUUUUCAUUUCAAUGUCUCCUUGCGCAAGAACUUCACGAAUAAAAUGAUACUUGAUGUCAAUAUGCUUUAUUCUCUCAUGAAACAUUUGAUCCUUUGUGGGAUAAAUGGCACUCUGACUGUUGCAAAAUACUGUUAGUUUCUGACUGCCACCGCUUAAUUCACCCAGUAGGCCUCUUAACCAAAUACUUUCCUUCACAGCCUUCGUGAUCGCCAUGUACUCGGUCUCUGGUGUAGAUAGUGCAAUAGUAGAGUAAACAGGCUCGCCAACUAAUAGCGCAUCCUCCAAGUGAGAAGACAUAACCAGUAAGAGAUAUUCUUUUAUCAAGAUCUCCAACAUAAUCAUAAUCCACAUAGCCUGUCAAACAUGCUUCAGAUCUUCUGAACUCUAAACAAGCACUAGUAGUAUCUCGCAGAUACCGCAAAAUCCAUUUCACAGCUUGCCAGUGUUAUUUUUCUGGAUUUGCCAUGUACCUACUCACCAUGCUUACAGCAUGUGCAAGAUCUGGUCUCGUGCAAACCAUAGCAUACAUUAUGCUACUGACUGCGCUGGCAUAAGGGACUUGUUCCACGUAUGCCUUCUCAUCAUCAGUUUUUGGAGACAAAUCAGUUGAAAGUUUAAAAUGUGUAGCGAAAUGCGUACUUACAGGCUUAACAUCCUUCAUACAAAAGCGCUCCAACAUGCGCUGGAUGUAUCCCUUCUGAGUCAGCUGUAACUUCUUUACUUUUUUGUUUCGCUGCAUCUCUAUACCAAGUAUCUUCUUCGCUGCACCUAAAUCUUUAACAUCAAAUUCAGAUUUCAACUGAUUUUUGAGGUCAUCAACAUCAGCCAUAUUCUUAGCAGCAAUCAACAUGUCAUCCACAUAAAGCAGCAAAUAGAUGAAAGAGCCAUUAAUUAAUUUUUUUUAUGUAAACACAACUAUCAUAAUUGUUUCUAUUAAAAUCAUAGCUAAUCAUAAAUGAAUCAAACCUCUUAUACCAUUGUCUUGGAGAUUGCUUUAACCCAUAGAGAGAUUUCUUUAAUCUGCAAACCUGGUCUUCUUUUCCUUCAACGACGGAUCCCUCGGGCUGCUGCAUAUAAAUCUCCUCCUCUAACUCGCCAUGUAAGAAAGCCGUCUUCACAUCCAGUUGCUCAAGUUCCAAAUCAUUUAUAGCAACUAAUCCAAGUAGAACUCUAAUGGAUGUAUGCUUCACUACUGGUGAAAAAACAUCAUUGAAGUCGACACCCGGAAUUUGACUGUAUCCUUUCGCAACCAAACGGGUCUUAUAUCUGAUACUCUCAAUUCCUGGAGUGCCUUCUUUCUUCUUGAACACCCAUUUGCAACGAACAACUUUCUUUCCCUUUGAAAGCUUUUUUCUUUCCCUUUGAAAGCUUUACUAGAUCCCAAGUUUGAUUUUUAUGAAGAGAUUCCAUCUCUUCCUCCAUAGUGAGCAAUCAUUUUGUAGAUUCAUUACAUGAAAUUGCCUCUUUAUAAGUGCAUGACUCCUUAGGCGCAUUUGUCUCUUGAGCAGUCAUAAAUGCAUAAGCCACCAAGUUCAUUUCUUCGUUCUCUGUGGUGGUCUAAUCUCCCUCCUUUGUCGAUCUCUGACUAUCGAAUAUGUGUCUGUCUAUGAUGGUGCCCGCGGCUCGGUAAAAGCAGAAUCGCUUGAAGAGGUACCUGAUGUUGGAAUGAUCUAACUUUUAGAGUUGUUUUGAAACUCCACCUCGACAGAUUUCUUUGAUGCAUCUGCAUCUGCAUCUGCACCUGUAUCACAAGAGACACGCGACUCCUUCUUUCGGUGAAGCAUAGCAGUUUCAUUAAACUUAACAUCUCUACUAAUAAUAAUUUUCUUAUCUUCAGGACACCACAACCGGAAACCUUUAGUACCAAAAGCAUAACCCAAAAACUUGCAUUCUUUAGAUCUAGGUUUCAAGUUUCCUUGACUAACACGUGCAUAAACAGUGUAUCCGAAAAUUUUUGAAUCAGAAUAACUAGGAAGGUGGCCAGACGAUACCUCUUUCGGAGUUUUCAGAUCAAUGGAAGUCGACGGAGACCGAUUCACCAAAUAGCAAGCUGUAGAUGCAGCCUCUGCCCAAAACUCCUCACCAAAUCCUGCAUUUGAGAGUAGGCAUCUUGUCUUCUCGAUCAAUAUUCUGUUCUUACGUUCUGCCACGCCAUUUUGCUGCGGUAUAUAUGCAACUGUGUGAUGUCUCUCGAUUUCUUUAUCUUUACAAAAUUCAUUGAAUUCCCCUGAACAAAACUCCAAUCUAUUAUUGGUGCGAAGGCGUUUAAUUUGCUUUCCUGUCUGCUUCUCAAUCAAAGUCUUCUACUGCUUGAAAGUCUUGAAUACAUGGCUUUUUUGCAAUAGAAAAAAUGUCCAAACCUUCCUUGAACCUAUGAAGGUUAACAUGUAUUUCGCUUCACCUUUAGAGGGUACUGGUGCUGCCCCCCAAAGAUUUGAAUGGAUGUAAUUUAGCAUUUCUUUGGUUCUGUGGACUGCCUUGCUGAAGCUGACCCUCUUCUUCUUUCCAAAAACAGUGUUUGCAGAAUUCCAGACUACCAGUAUUUUGGCCACAAAAGAGUUCUCUUUUGCUCAGCACCAUCAAUUCUCUUUCGCUCAUAUGUCCCAGCCUCAUAUGCUAUACUUUUGUGACAUCUGAAUCGGACAUAGAUGAAGAGGAAACCGCAGCUCCACAUGUCAUAGUAGAUCCUGGCAGGAUAUAUAGUUUUCCUUCUUACCUUUAACCUUUCAUCACAACAAUAGCUCCUUUAACAACUUCCAAAAUUCCAUCUUCACCAGUGAAUUUAUAUCCUUUAGUGUCAAGGAUACUCAAAGGUAUCGUUUGGUUCGGGGAUAAGCAAAAAGUGGGUAUUCCGGGAAUAGGUAUAAAUUGAGGUAUAAGCGAGGAUUAGAUCAAUUUUGCGUUUGGAUGAAAAUUGAGUUAUUGCUGGGGAUAAAAAAAAUAGCAUUUGGUUAGGUAAGAUGGGCAUAAGAUUAAGUUGGUAGUUAAAAAUAAAAAAUAAUGAUAUUAUCUUUUUCUUUAUAUUAGAUUUUAACUUUUAUAUUUUAUAUUAUAUUUUAAAAUUUAAAAUAUAAACUUUUAAUUUAAAAAUUAAAAUUAAAAAAUAUAACUUUUAAAAUCUCAAAUUUAUAAAUUUAAAAAUUAAUUUUUAAAGUUUGAACAUUAAAUUUAGAUGAAAUUUUAAUUUAAAAAAUAACAUAUCAAUUCUAAUAUAAAAAAUUAAAAUAUCAAAAUUUAUAAUUUAAAUUAACAAUUAAAAUUUAAAUUUUUAAUUUGUAAUUUAAAUUAUAAAUUUAAUUUUUGAAUUUAUAAUUUAAUUUUAUAAUAAAUUAAAACUCUCUCUCUCUCUUCUCUCCUCUCUCUCUUUAUGGGUGGAACAAGCAGGGUGAUCCUAAAAUAUUUUUUUAAAUUCAAAAAUUAAAUUAAAAUUUUUAAUUUUAAUUUUAAAAUUUAAAAUUUAAAAUUUAAAAUUUAAGAUCAAAUUUAAAUUUAAAAUAUAAAUAUCAAAUUUAUAUUAAAAAAUAUAAAAUUUAAAAUUAAAUUUUAAUAUUAAAUUUAAAUUUAAAACUAUAAACUUGAAUUUUGAAAUUACCAAUUAUAAAUUUUUAAAACUAAAAUUAAAAUUAAAAUUUUUAAUUUUUAAUUUUUUUAAAAAAAUGGGGGUGGGAACAACUUGUUCCCACCCUAUUCCACCUAAGGGUGGGAACUAGCUAUUCCCACCCUUAAUGGGUAACCAACCCGUUAAGGGUGGGAAUAGCUAGUUCCUACCCUUAAAAAUAGUGUUUGGGGAACAAGGGGGGGAUAACCCCUUAUCCUCACCCUUGUUCCCCAACCAAACAUGGCCAAAGAGAUUAAAUUUUUCUUCAAUUAUGGAAUAUAUCUUACAUCAGUGAGCGUUCUGACUACUGCGUCAAACAGCUUAAUGUUCACAACUCCUCGUCCAACAACUUUGCAGGAUGCAUCAUUCUCCAUCAGAACAACUCCACCAUUAAUAGCUUCAAAAAUAGAGAACCAGUCCUUAUUAGGACACAUAUGGAACAAGCACGCAGAAUCAAGGAUCCACUCUAUGCUGGCUCUGGAUUGAUCAUCACAGACGAGCAGAACAUUCCCAUCACUACUGUAAUUUUCUGCUACACUGGCUUCAGCAGAUUUCGAGCUAUCUUUUCCCUUUCGAUCAUUUUUCCCUUCGAUCUGUUCCUUCCUGUUCAAUUUGAAACAGUCCGCCUUAAUGUGGCCCUUCUUUUUACAGUAGUUACAGAUUAAGUUCUUAUGCUUGGAUUUAGAUCUAACCUUUUCUUUACUGUCACCAAAAUUUCUCUGCUUGGAUCUUCCUCUGGUAAAGAGACCCUCUACUUGACUUUCAGUAGUACCACUCAUCUCUUUAUCGAUCAUCUUUUUCGAGAGGACCGCAGUUGAGACAUCUUCCAAAGAGAUGGUAUCACGUCCAUAAAGCAUAGUAUCUCUAAAAUUUCUAUAAGAAGGCGGCAAAAAACAUAAAAGCAGUAGCGCUAAAUCUUUAUCUGUCACGCCCCGGGACCGGCGGAGGCCCUCCCGGUGGCGUGCCCAGACCCGCCAUAUGUCUACACAUAUAAGGCGUCUACAAGAAAAGCGGAAGUAAAAGCAAGAGAUGGAACAAAUAAGAGAAGUGAAAUAACAAGUAACUAAUGAUAUCAGAGCGAGUAAAGUUCUAACAUCUAUACUAAUAGUAAUAGAACAUAACUAAAGAAUAAAAGUAAAUAUAAGUUAUACAGUAUCAGCCUCUAAUACAAAAAUGGUGGUCUCUAGUACACUGGUAAACUCUCAACCUCUCCAAAAUAAAGUACAACGAGAGGUAGACCACCUAGCAAAUCGUCCUCGAAGGAAGCUAGCUCGAAGCAACUCCCUUCCCGCGGUCCCUGGCCUCACCCUGAGUGGAAGGCUCUGAAAAACAUCGAAAAAAAGAGGACGUGAGAACUAUAAUUUAUAGUUCCCAGUGGGCAAUUACUGACCUCAGCUCCUGCUCCACUAGGCCCCAAAAAUAAGGGUAAGUACAGGGUAGUAUUAGCAAUAAAGAUAAUAGUAACACGGUAAGAAAGCAUAAAUGAAGUGC